GGGCGUGUGGCUCAGUUGGUAGAGCGUUCGCUUAGCAUACUUUCUCUCCUGUAUGCGAAAGGUCCUGGGUUCGAUUCCCAGCUCGUCCA